UGCAAUUAUAGCGAUUGAUAUCGAUUUGGAUCGGGUGUUGAUUUGUGAGUGAUUUUGCAGAUUAGGGAGCCACCGGAUUCACGGGAGGAUGGUGGCGAAUCUCUCAAUCGGAGUUAUAGUUCUACUCAUCUGUACUCUCUCGCUUCUCUUCUCAGCUAACGUCGGUCGCGAUCGCGAGCCUGCGCGUUCAUCUAAGAUAGAUGUGGAAGAGUAUGGAUUUUGAGUAGUGAUUUUGUAGCUGGAGAUAUCAGUUCUUCUUGUGGUAAUAAUGUGGUGGAAGAGCUGUGGGAGAGUGCUGAGUCUGGUGGUUGGAGACCAUCUUCUGCUCCACGAUCUGACUGGCCUCGUAUGUUCAUCUCAUGUUUUUGACCUCUCCUACGGAGGAGACGAAUGGCUAUCUUCGUGUUCGGUGUAAUGGUGGUUUGAAUCAGCAACGUAGUGCG